UGAGGAAUAUUGGACAAUGGAGGCAACUCUGAUCCAGCCAUGCCGCGUGAAGGACUAAGGCCCUAUGGGCUGUAAACUUCUUUAGACGCAGAGCAAUAAGGGCCACGUGUGGUCCGAUGAGAGUAUGCGUAGAAUAAGCAUCGGCUAACUCCGUGCCAGCAGCCGCGGUAAUACGGGGAUGCGAGCGUUAUCCGGAUUCAUUGGGUUUAAAGGGAGCGUAGGCCGGAGAUUAAGCGUAUUGUGAAAUAGUAGACGCUCAACGUCUGCACUGCAGCGCGAACUGGUUUCCUUGAGUACGCACAAAGUGGGCGGAAUUCGUGGUGUAGCGGUGAAAUGCUUAGAUAUCACGAAGAACUCCGAUUGCGAAGGCAGCUCACUGGAGCGCAACUGACGCUGAAGCUCGAAAGUGCGGG
rnacentral:rRNA from 1 species